CGAGUGGCGGACGGGUGAGUAACGCGUGAGCAAUCUGUCCCAGACAGGGGGAUAACACUUGGAAACAGGUGCUAAUACCGACAUAAGACCACGGUGUCGCAUGGCACAGGGGUAAAAGGAGCGAUCCGGUUUGGGGUGAGCUCGCGUCCGAUUAGCCAGUUGCGGGUAACGGCCACCAAAGCGACGAUCGGUAGCCGACCUGAGAGGGUGAUCGGCCACAUUGGAACUGAGAGACGGUCCAAACUCCUACGGGAGGCAGCAGUGGGGAAUAUUGGGCAAUGGGGGAAACCCUGACCCAGCAACGCCGCGUGAGGGAAGAAGGUUUUCGGAUCGUAAACCUCUGUCCUUGGUGAAGAGAAAGAGACGGUAGCCAAGAAGGAAGCCCCGGCUAACUACGUGCCAGCCGCCGC
rnacentral:rRNA from 1 species